UUUACUACCCUGGAGUAGUAAAAGCAUGUGGGGAGCUGCCUCUGGAUUGGACAAAGGCAGCAAGCAGCAUGUGUUUCUCUGCAGAAAGAAACACAUUUAAGGGAAGUCUGCACUAGGGUGAGUUGGUACGUCCUGAUUGAACAGGCUCUCCAAUAAUGAAUUUUGAUAGCUGGACCUUGGAGAUCAAUCUCAGGAACGGGCUUGGUCUGACCCAUGGUGCUGUUGGAAAAUGAAAACUUUCAGAGAUGGAGCCUACUUGGAAUUACGUCAUUAUAGACUUUCCCUUGAAAAAGACAUUGGGAUACAUACCCCUAUGGCUCUCAGUUUCUUGGCUAUAAUGAGAUAAACAGGCUCCUUUCACUGCAGGCUCCUGCUAUGUUGCUGUGAUAUUUUGUGUUACCACAAGUACAAGUGGACAGGCCCAGAUGGCUAUGGCCAGAAGACUGUGAAACUGUGAAUCAAAACAAGCCUUUCUUCCUUUUAAGUAGAUUCCCUCAGAUGUAGUGUUACAGUAAUGGAAAGGCCUGUUGGAACUAGCACCACUCGGAAGAAGCCAAGAAGUCGAGGAUAACUAACUCCAUGGCCAUCACUGAGUUGAUCCAGCCCAACAUCUAUUCCACCUACAAGCUCCUGGAAUACGUGGAGGAGCCAGUGCAACAGAAAAGAUGUCAUUACUGAAGAGGGCCAAUCUUAGAUCCAUGGGUCAGCUCCAGCAUAACGCAGCUGCGGCUCCAUCUGUGCUUCUUGUCUAGUUUGCAGACCUUGGAGAAGGAGAACGGUGGCAAGAGUUACAAGCAUAAAGACUCAUAGGUUACAUAAACUCAACUGCCAACUAUACCCGGGCCUGUUCACAGAACUGUAGAAAAGAGUAGCUGCUCUGUUAUUGCCAAAUUCCAUCAAAGAGCUCUUUAUCCAGGGGAGAUGCAGCCUCGCCAGCUCCAUAAGUUUCCUGCUGACUUCUCAGAAAUUCCAAAUGUGUAGACUGCAGCCUGUGCCUGUCAGGUUGGCUCAGAGACCAGCGAGAGUCCAAAUGAUGUUCCAUGCCCACCUGGUGACAGCUUGAUGAUUUGGGAUCGACAUGGCUUUGCAAAGUAGAGAGAAUGGACUAGUCAGUUCUGUGGGCUGACACAGGAUGUGUGCUAUAAACGGCUUAGUUGGUUUAUAAGUCUUUCUAUGUGUGUGUUUAUCUGUGUUCUGGAGAGUUAGCCCCUCUGAUAAUAAAUCCAUUUCUUUUUUUCCUCACCUGGAAAGGCUGCUGACAGGAAGAUCUGGGACUGUAGUGUACACUCCAGGGCUCAAACAACUCCAAGGAAAAGGUGAAGCGAUUAUAGAGUCCUGGCAGGUUGCUUAGAGAUUCCACUCUAAUACAAACCCGACCCAAUCUCAAAUUUCUUUGUUCAAUAGACUCAUAUCCUUUUUGUAUCUGGUGGGAGUGGAGAGACCAUUUGUCAAGGAAAUUGCUUCAUGACUGUGACAUGUUUCAGAACUGGACAUUGACCUCAUGGUCUCUUGAAUGCUAAGAACACACCCCAGCAUCAAGCUGUACUCCCCGCUCUUCAAUUUGUGACUUUAAAAGGAAAAUAAAGAA